AUUGAACGCUGGCGGCAUGCCUUACACAUGCAAGUCGAACGGCAGCACGGGAGCAAUCCUGGUGGCGAGUGGCGAACGGGUGAGUAAAGUAUCGGAACAUGCCCAGUCGUGGGGGAUAACGUAGCGAAAGUUACGCUAAUACCGCAUACGAUCUAUGGAUGAAAGCGGGGGAUCGCAAGACCUCGCGCGAUUGGAGCGGCCGAUAUCAGAUUAGGUAGUUGGUGGGGUAAAGGCUCACCAAGCCGACGAUCUGUAGCUGGUCUGAGAGGACGACCAGCCACACUGGGACUGAGACACGGCCCAGACUACUACGGGAGGCAGCAGUGGGGAAUUUUGGACAAUGGGCGAAAGCCUGAUCCAGCCAUGCCGCGUGCAGGAUGAAGGCCUUCGGGUUGUAAACUGCUUUUGUACGGAACGAAAAGGUUUGGGCUAAUAAGCUGAGCUCAUGACGGUACCGUAAGAAUAAGCACCGGCUAACUACGUGCCAGCCGCCGCAGUAACAC
rnacentral:rRNA from 1 species